rnacentral:rRNA from 1 species
GAUGAACGCUGGCGGCGUGCCUAAUACAUGCAAGUCGAACGAAACUUCUUUAUCACCGAGUGCUUGCACUCACCGAUAAAGAGUUGAGUGGCGAACGGGUGAGUAACACGUGGGCAACCUGCCCAAAAGAGGGGGAUAACACUUGGAAACAGGUGCUAAUACCGCAUAACCAUAGUUACCGCAUGGUAACUAUGUAAAAGGUGGCUAUACUACCGCUUUUGGAUGGGCCCGCGGCGCAUUAGCUAGUUGGUAGGGUAAAGGCUUACCAAGGCAAUGAUGCGUAGCCGAAUUGAGAGGUUGAUCGGCCACAUUGGGACUGAGACACGGCCCAAACUCCUACGGGAGGCAGCAGUAGGGAAUCUUCCACAAUGGGCGAAAGCCUGAUGGAGCAACGCCGCGUGGGUGAAGAAGGUCUUCGGAUCGUAAAACCCUGUUGUUAGAGAAGAAAGUGCGUGAGAGUAACUGUACACGUUUCGACGGUAUCUAACCAGAAAGCCACGGCUAACUACGU